UCUGUCAAAUUUUCUUUUCUGACUAGUGACCGGCUUCACGAGGCUUAUUUCUCUCUUGGCGUUUCUCCUUUUUCUGAGUAACUUUUGAUGCUCCCUCCAAUGUGACUUUACACAGAGGGUCCAAGAUGCCCCAGGGCAAGGGAACUUUUCUGGAAGGCUCUUUUCUGCAGCCAAGGGUGGGAAGGCUUGGAGGCUUUCAUGAGUCUGUAGGUCCUUCAAACUGGAAUUGAGGGAUGGGUUUUUCUCUUUGAGAACUGCUAUAUUCUUUUAUUGUCGUACUCAUAAAUAUUUUACAAUGUUUCUUUGAUGCCUCAGUUGGAGUUUGAAUGUGUUUAGGGUCUUGUAUAUUGUCUUAAUCUGUGGUCUGUUGUUACAACAGACUUCCCGAGACUGGGAAAGUCACAAAGAAGAGAGUUCGGGGCUCACGGUUCCAGAGAUGGAGAAGGUCUGGGUGAAGCAAUGGUGUCUACUAACGAAGGCCUCAAGCUGCUUCAAAUUAAGAUUCAGUUCAUGGCCCCCCCUUCUAGGAAACUUUCCAGGAAGGUCACUCUCCCAUUCAAUAUAACAGUUUCUUGAGGGAGGAGGCUAUUUCAACUCAUCUUCAUAUUCCCACCGUAAUGUCUACUGCAUGGAAGAACAAUGGAGAAAUGUUUCAAAGCAAAGUUUAAAACUUGAAGAGAAACUGGAGACUGUGGCGGGGAGGAAACAGCCGGAGUAGUCAGGAAGCUAACACAGCCUGGAAGAUGGCGGCCUUUCUUGGUCAAGUGAAUGGAAUGGAUCGGAGUCAUGGUGGGCAGGAUCACUCCAGGACGUGAGAACAAGGAAGGGAGUGAUGCUUUCUGACAGAGAGCUGCUGCUUGGGGAAGGAAAUGAAAAGAUUCCUAGAAUGGACAAUAGAAUUCUACUGGUCUUCAGUGAAGGGAAUGAAAGGAUUUAUGACUUAAACAUACACUUUAAUGAAUGACAGACAUUCGGAAAAGCGCAUGAGCAGAAAAAGAUACACCUCUCACGGACAGAAGCCCUCCCGGUCUUUGUUGGUGCCUUUUACACAGUUUCACAAGACCCAUAAGCUUGUCAUAUUCCUAUCAGAGGUACUGGGGGUAAGGAAUUACUUUUUGGUGAUCCCAGUAAGUUUUUUAAAUAGAUAAACAGUUUUUAAAGAACGAAAGAGAAAAUGGCAGGAUGCAUCACAAGCAGGACAGGUAUGUUCCCUGAAUAUUUUGAGUGUUUAUGUCUAUUAUGCACACACUGAGUGAAAUACUAUAUUUUCAGGGACCAUUUCUACAGCUCAUUACUGAGUGUGAUAUAGAUGUAGUUAUCAUCAUAAAAAGUUCUGAAAGCUACCGAGUAUGACAUUUUAAUGAAAGCACAAUGUUAUUUUAAGUGUUUUAUUUGGGGGCCAAAGAGGAACUCCUGGGCUUCUGUGAUCCUUUUGCCUCAGCCUCUGAGCUUGUAUGGGCCGGAGUACAGGUGUUUGCCCUGUGGACAUCGGGUAAUUACUAGAGGUCUUGUGGACAUGGAUCAACUAUAAGAUCAGUUAGGAAUAUACACUUCUUUAUCCCCACUCAAGAACUUUCAAAACAGAAUAGGGAUUCCCAUGAUCUUUCUGCAGGCAAGGGAGAAAUGGUAGUAUCUUCCAGUAAACACACACACACACACACACACACACACACACACACACACACACACACACACACACACGUUGAACCACAUGGCCAUUCUUGAAUCUAUUACUGACAGGGGAUGGCAUUACACAGACUAAUCAGGCUAUUCCUUGGAAGUGUAAUCAGCCAUUCUUGGGCUCAUGCCUAGGUGGGAGGAAAGGGGGAAAAAAAAAGAAAGAAGGAAGACACUUUGUGCAAUAAGCAAUCAACAGCAUUCACUGUAUUUAAAACUUGUAAAAUCUUGAGUACCAUAUCCUCCUAGUGGAUUUGACAUUGAACUUUUUCAUCAUGAAAACAGUCUCACCUUUGGAAACAUUGGUCAUUUCCCUAAUUGUAGGAGAAUGCCUCUGGAAGUCCUUAAAACACAGCAAAGAAGGCAAGCACACAGGCUUCUAUUUUUGGUGCACUUUACCACCAAAAGAAAUUUCAACUUUUCCUGAAAGUAAUAGGCUGUAUUCACUACCAGAGAGACAACAGCAGCGAGUGACCUGUGUUGUAACAAGCCCAUGUCGGAGAGGAGCAGUCACCAUCAUGCAGGGCUUUGAUUCUCUCUCCGAUCCCUUCCUCCACUUGGAAGUUGCCCUUCAGCACUAUGCCUGGGUGUACUUGCCAACUUUCUGCAUCAUGACACAAAGACAUUGCUGGCUAGGAUCAUUGUGGUCUGAGGAACAGCAAGCGUGAAGCCAGCCAGGCUUCCAUGAAAUGCACACUGUUUGCGGAAUGGCCAUGCCGUUUUGAAAGUUCCCUUUAUGAAAGGCUAGCAUAAAGUCAACAGCCCACAGUUGCUCAAAUCCGUGCUUUGGUUUCAUUACCACGGCAGACCACUUCCCUGCUCAGGAGAAUUAUAGUUAAGUUGUGUUUUUAACUAUGUCCCUAGGGGAGUGUUGAGUAAGAUGAAAAACAGGCUGGGCCACCGAUAAAUCAUUUCUGGAAAAGGAGGCAUUUCAGGAAAAUUAAACAAAGCGUAGAAAAGCCUUAGCUUGCACUUUGUUGUUACAGAAUUGAGUGAUAGCUUUCCUCCGUACUUAGACUAAUCCUGAGCAGGAAGCUGCAAAUGGGGGAAAAUCCUGUCCAGAGUACAGAAGAGAGCAGACAAUCAUUGUCCUUUUAAACAAAACUUCGGUGGCUAGUUCUUUAACCCUGUCCACCUGCUCUGAUAAUUGGUAGAAGUUCUAUAAUGAUGACCAGAUACCUCCACAAGGGUGGAACACAAAUUUUCAAAGGUGCUCCAAAACUCAGUUACUUUCCAAAACAGUUACCUUCCCUUGUGCCCUGGCUACAAUGUGCAGGUAAAUUGCUCUCCCUGGGAUCUUUGAGGAAGAUAAGGAGCAUGGGAAAACAGGGCAUGUAGCUCCUUCAGCUGAUGUUAGGAAAUACUUGCUGAGGGUUGAAAGUCAUACUUCUCCUGUGGGCCCUUGUGAUUUUAGAGUGGUAAAUCGUGUUGUGGUCUUUCUAACUUUUCUUUGGUACACAAAUCCAGCACCCUGUUGUCUACUAAUUGCUGCUGUCAUAAUCCCACAACAAUGUCAGCCCAAAUUCAUUACCAGAGCUCAUUUCUGGCUGCCUCCAUAGCAACCAUCUGAGGACAUUAUAUGACUUUCCCCAUGAGCCCAUGAUGAACAAAAGCACAUUGUCAUUUCUUUUAUUUUUAACAGUUGCCUACCCCACAUGUUAAGGAACUGGACAGAAUUCAGAAAGUAUUUUUCAUCUGGAAAGACAAAUAAUCAACCAGGUCAAAGGUUAGGGCUGUUCCUUUAAAUGCCUUACUGACAUUAUCUUACUUUGAAGACUUAUUCCUGUCGUUCACCUUGAAUAAAUCUCUGUGUUCUCUCAGCUUCUAUUUUAUACUUUGCAAAAUAUUGACAGGAUGAGUACAUUAUUAUUUUUAAAAUAGUAUUUUUUUAAAUUCUUUGAGAACUUUAUACCAUAUAUUUUUGUUAUAUUGCUCCCCCAGCUUUUCCCAUAUCCAUCCUCUCUACCCUAGCCUCCCUACCCACUCAACUUUUGGGUUUUCUACCCAUCCUUGUCCACACUGAGUCCAGUUUAUGUUGCUCAACUAUCUUGGGAGAGAGGCCUGCCCUGGAGUGGGGUUCACCUACCUGGAGUCACUUCACCAAAGAAAGUUCACUCUCCCUCUCCCAGAAGCUAAUAGCUCUUCAGCUAGUGGUGGGAUUGAGUCUGGUUGGAGCUUGUGCAAACCUUGCGCAGGCUGUCAAGUUCCAUAACUGCCCUGUUGUGUCUGGAAACUACUGUUUCUGAAGUCAUCCUCCACCUCUGGCUCUCACGAUCCUUCCACGCCAUCAUUAGUGUCCGUCCCUGAACCUUGUGGGGAGGGGUAUGAUACAGACCUCCCAUUUAGGGCUGAGCACUCCAGUCUCUCACUCUUCAUAUUGACCUGUUGAAGGUCUCUGUCAACUGCCAUUGACUGCAAGAAGAAGCUUCUCUGAUGAGAGUUGAGGGAUGCACUGAUCUGUGGGCACAGCAGAAAGUCAUUUUAAUACCCAGCCCAUUUAACAGGAUAAUAGUAGUAGGUUCUCCCAUAAGGCCCAUGACCUACUUAGCCACAGCUCUUGGCCCUGUAAAUAGUGCCAGGAAUGGGUUCCAUCUCAUGGACUGGGCUUUAGGUUUGAUCAGAAGCUGAUUGGUUGUGAGUACAUUUUUAGAUCAGAUGGGCAUGGAUAUAUGUGACUAAAUAAUCAUUUUGAUACAGAGAUUUGAGAAUAAUUUAAAAUUUCAAAGUCUCCUUGGCAGGGCAUUAAUUCUAUGAGGUAAAUGCUGUUAUUCAGCUCGUGUGGCUGUUGAGAAAGCAUGCAGCAAAUAAGUAGUACAGGCAGGACUCGAACCCAGGCAGUGAAUCCGCUGCUGUUCUCCGAGAGGAGCCUGGCACAGGACAGAGCCCACUGUACAGAAGGACUCUGCCUGACCCUGACGUUUUCUGAGUUCUUUCAGUGGCAAGAAGCUUUAUUCAUUUCUGUUGUGCUCAAAUUAGCUUUGGAUUAUUUUAUCCACACAAAAUGCCAGAACAGCCCAGAUUGUCCCCAUUACGGGCUAUCAUGUCUCCUGUCCCUUGUUUACAAGAAGGGUUCUGCUUGGCCUCAGCUACUCUUAGGUGAAGGCAUCUUAGGAAAAGUGAAGAGCCACAGAGGCAGAGCUUUGUAAAAUGACAAGUGUUCCAAGAAUUCAUUCUACAGCCACACACUCUUUACUUUCCUCAUUUCUGUUUGCUGAAAACAAGAACGACAAAGAAAACACUUCUUUUGUUUGUUUGUUUGUUUUGGUUUUUCAAGACAGGGUGUCUCUGUGUAGCUUUGCAUCUUUCCUGGAUCUCGUUCUGUAGACCAGGAGGGCCUCGAACACACAGAGAUCCACCUGCCUCUGCCUCCCGAGUGCUGGGAUUAAAGGCGUGCGCCACCACUGCCCAGCUUAGAAAACACUUCUUUAGAAAUACAAUUAUCUACCUGGCGGUGGUGUUGUACAGACUUAGAAAGUGCUUUAUGUGUGUAUGUUGUAUCCAAAACAUAACCACACAAAAAUGAAUGAAUGGAAGAUGUAGCUUUUCAAUGAAUAUCUUAUGUAAAUCAAAAGAAUGGAAAAGACUAAAAUACAGAUUCCAUUACGAGCUUCAUGUUGGCUCUGUGUGCAUGAGUCUGGGAUGUGUGUGUGUGUGUGUGUGUGUGUGUGUGUGUGUGUGUGUGUGUGUUCAGGCACAUGUGUAUGUAUGUGUUUGCAUGCAUGGAGUCCAGAGUUUAAAUAUUGGAUAUCUUUCUCAAUCAUCAAUCAUUUUUCCAACUUAUUUCUUUCUUUCUUUUCUUUUUUUCUUUUUAUUUUUUGAGACAGGGUUUCUCUAUGUAGAUUUGGAUGUCCUAGAACUCACUCUGUAGACCAGGCUGGUCUUGAACUCACAGAGAUCCACCUUCCUCUGCUUCCUGGGUGCUGGGAUUAAAGGCAUACACCACCACUGCCCAGCUUCACCUUAUUUCUUAAGGCAGGGCUUCUCACCGAACCUGGAGCUCACUAAUUCAGCUAGACUAGCUGUCUAGGAAGCCUCAGGGAUCUUUCUGUCUCAGCCUCCCCAGCCCUGGGUGUAUGCUGCUUUGUCUGGGUUUUUCACAUGGCUGCUGGGGAUGCGUACUUCAGUCCUCACACUUGUAUGGAAGUACAUGUUCCCCAGUCAUGUUCCCAGCCUUUUAUGGCGGCUUUUAAACGGUGGGUUUCCAGGCAGUCUAAAUAGUGACCCUGCAGAGCCAAUAAAAGUCUUUCUGAGGAGAAAACCAGAGCAAGAAGAGAGUUGGAAGUAGGCUUGUAGACCACAGGGUGGCAGGGAGAAACAUGGUCUGGGAAGAGGAGCCUUCUCAUCUCAUGAAAAGAAGAACCGAAGUGAAAGUCUCCACAUGGUGGGAAGAUGACAGACUUCCUAGGUCCUAGGGUUUGGCUGUGAGUUCUGAGCAGCAGAAACAGGAAGGAAGUGGCUCUGUACUGCAUCUGGCUUCUUAGGAAACCUCGAGAUGGGGCACAGGCUAAGCCCAGCCUUCUCCCGCCUCCCCAUCUCCCUCAUGGAAUCUUGAAACAUGUUGAGUUUUCCGGAAAAGAAACGGAAAUUUCCAGCACCCAAUGGUAAAGAAAAAAUGACCACCACCCAAAUAGACAGUUCUGGGUGGCAGAGACCUGUCUGGCCUCCUUUGUGAGAACCUGGAGCACGAAGUUGCUCGGGGAAGAUUUGUCGAACAAACACUGCUGGGCCCGAUUAUUGAGAGCAGUCAGAGAAAUAAUUGGGAGUUUUUUCUGCUUUUCAUAUGAACAAUGAUGACAGAAAAGAAGGACAAGAAGGGAGAGAGAGAGUGCUCGAGAACAAGAGAGAGAGAGAGAGAGAGAGAAGGGGAAGGAGAGGCAGGGGGAGGAGCAGAAUGGGAAGAUAGAGAUCAUUCCUCAUCUGUUAUGACAACUGAGUUAUUUUUGUUCAUAUCUAUUUUGUGUUUGUGACUUCUUGCAAGAAAGAUGUCAGAUGACUAUGAUGAAAUAGUCAUGUGCUUUAUGUGGUGUGUGUGUGUGUGUGUGUGUGUGUGUGUGUGUGUGUGUGUGUGUGACUGUUCUGAUUGACAUAGCUCUAUCACGUCAUGAGGCUGUAUCUGUGUCUGUGUUUGAGGUUGACUUUAAUUCUUCAGCUCUGCUCAAAUGGCUUUCCUACUUCUCCCAAUUCAGUAGUAAGUAUUUAAAGUUAUAAGAAGCAGGAUCAGCUCACAAACAAAACAGCCCAUUCCUGCCUAAUAACACAGCUUAGUAAUAAUAAGAGCAAGACAAUCUGGGAAGGCCACUCCCCUUCAGAAAUCUUAGGACAUCUAAAUUGGGAGUUGGUAAUCUUGUAAACAAAUUCAAAUUACCUUCCAGCAAAACCCCAAACUACUUGUUUGAGAUGGUUUUUGGCUACAAGAUGCGAAUCCAGAUCAAAAUCAAAAGCCACAUACAUACUAAAAUAGCCAAAACAGAGACAUAGUCAUUACAGGAAACUCAUGAAGCUUCAAAGGAGGUUUAAAAAAGGAAAAGCUGCAGCCAGAGGAGUCGGUGGCAUUGCCCGUCUGUACUGGAAAUGUCGACAUCCUCUGCAGAGGAAGAGGAAGGAGUUGAGGUGCCAGACAAGCAGCUGGACAUGACAAAACAGGAAACGGACCGCUGAUGACAGCGCAACCGCAAACCGGGAAGAGCAGAGCAUCAAAGCCACGGCCCGUCGGAAACACCGGCAAGGACAAAGUGAAAGCUGCGAGGCUCAGAAUCACUAUGACUCUAGAUGGUGUCCAGUUGAACAACAACAACAACAAAAACAAAAAACAAAAAAACAAAACAAAACAAAAAACCCAACACAAGCAAUGGAUUUAAGGACAGACUUGGAUGCUCCUCAGCUCUGUGUGACAUCACUGCUCAGUCAUAUCCCUCGGGAACAGCUGCUCAGAGCGACAGGGUCUGAAGACACAGAUUCCAAAUGCAUGGAAAGGCUGACAAAUACUCACGGAUAAGAUCCACGUACAGUACCAAGGAGAGUCCGCUCAGUGCACAGUGCCACGGAAGUGACAAAUUGGAACGCACAUUGUGUGGCAACCAUGGAAGGACAUUCUUAUUUUUUGAAGAAAAUCCAGAAAUGUUUUAAUAUUUUUAUGCUGUUGUUCAUGUCAAAAUGCCUUCUGGCACAAGACCAUUGAGGGAUGGGCAGCUGACAGCUUAGUUCCAUGUGGAACCAGAAUGUCUAGAUGGCUAUAAUUUAAUUUGAUUUAAACUAAAGGGGUUUGGGCAUAUAUACAUAAGAUACUUGUUACAUCAUGUUACAUUUUAGAGAAUAAACUGACAUAAAUACUUAAAAUAUUAAACAAAAACUCACCUGGCAGAUAACUUUUUACUAAAUCAGAUACUCUUAUAAAUAUAUUAUAAAAAUGAUUUUUAUUUUUGUUCAGUGCUUGGAAUUGAACCCAGGGCUGAGCGCAUGCUUGGCAAGUACCCCACCGUGGAACCACACCCCAGCUUAUGAAUCAAUUCAAACAAUACACAUUCCCUCUGAGGAAGGGUGCUCUGUUCCUGGAGGUACUGCAAGAGCAGGUUGAUUCAUGGAGCAGACAAAGCAAGUUCCUAUUCCACCUCCUGUUUCCAAAGAAUCUAUUUAAUAUACUAUCCUUGGAUAGAGGACAUAUCAGAUAUUAAGCUGGUAAAAACAGAUAACAUUUUUUUCCUCUUAAGUAUAUCACAGAGAAGUGACCCCCAACUCACAAGCUUCUUUUUUGUUUGUUUAUUUGCUUUUUUUUUUUUUAGACAGAAUCCCCAUCUGUCCUGGAACUCACUCUGUAGACCAGGCUGGCCUGGAACUCACAGAGAUCUGCCUGCCUCUAUCUGGGAUUAAAGAUGUAUACCA